rnacentral:tRNA from 1 species
GCACUGGUUGUUCAGAGGUAGAACUCUCUCUUUCCAUGCAGGAGAUGCUGGUUCAAUUCCCGGCCAGUGCA